AGCGAACGCUGGCGGCAGGCCUAACACAUGCAAGUCGAACGAACCUUUCGGGGUUAGUGGCGGACGGGUGAGUAACACGUGGGAACGUGCCUUUAGGUUCGGAAUACCUCAGGGAAACUUGUGCUAAUACCGAAUGUGCCCUUCGGGGGAAAGAUUAAUCGCCUUUAGAGCGGCCCGCGUCUGAUUAGCUAGUUGGUUGAGGUAAUGGCUCACCAAGGCGACGAUCAGUAGCUGGUCUGAGAGGAUGAUCAGCCACAUUGGGACUGAGACACGGCCCAAACUCCUACGGGAGGCAGCAGUGGGGAAUCUUGCGCAAUGGGCGAAAGCCUGACGCAGCCAUGCCGCGUGAAUGAUGAAGGUCGUAGGAUUGUAAAAUUCUUUCACCGGGGACGAUAAUGACGGUACCCGGAGAAGAAGCCCCGGCUAACUUCGUG
rnacentral:rRNA from 1 species